UACAGGGGGGGCAAGCGUUGUUCGGAAUUACUGGGCGUAAAGGGUUCGUAGGUGGCCACCUAAGUCAGACGUGAAAUCCCUCAGCUUAACUGGGGAACUGCGUCUGAUACUGGGUGGCUUGAGUGCAGGAGAGGAAUGCGGAAUUCCAGGUGUAGCGGUGAAAUGCGUAGAUAUCGGGAGGAACACCGGUGGCGAAGGCGGUUCUCUGGGCCUUACCUGACGCUGAGGAGCGAAAGCGUGGGGAGCGAACAGG
rnacentral:rRNA from 1 species